rnacentral:rRNA from 1 species
GACGAACGCUGGCGGCGUGCUUAACACAUGCAAGUCGAACGGAAAGGCCCUGCUUUUGUGGGGUGCUCGAGUGGCGAACGGGUGAGUAACACGUGAGUAACCUGCCCUUGACUUUGGGAUAACUUCAGGAAACUGGGGCUAAUACCGGAUAGGAGCUCCUGCUGCAUGGGGGGGGUUGGAAAGUUUCGGCGGUUGGGGAUGGACUCGCGGCUUAUCAGCUUGUUGGUGGGGUAGUGGCUUACCAAGGCUUUGACGGGUAGCCGGCCUGAGAGGGUGACCGGCCACAUUGGGACUGAGCUACGGCCCCGACUCCUACGGGAGGCAGCAGUGGGGAAUAUUGCACAAUGGGCGGAAGCCUGAUGCAGCAACGCCGCGUGCGGGAUGACGGCCUUCGGGUUGUAAACCGCUUUCGCCUGUGACGAAGCGUGAGUGACGGUAAUGGGUAAAGAAGCACCGGCUAACUACGUG